rnacentral:miRNA from 1 species
CAGCAGACACAUUCUAGCCAAUCAGCAGCAAACCCUCCCUCCCAGACCCUCCCACCUCCUGCAUCCAUUUUGAAGCUGCAUUCUUAGUGAGCAGUCCAGGAGGUGGGAGGGUCUGGGAGGGAGGGUAUGCUGCUGAUUGGCUGGAAUGUGUCUGCUG